rnacentral:rRNA from 1 species
GAUGAACGCUGGCGGCGUGCCUAAUACAUGCAAGUCGAGCGAACAGAUAAGGAGCUUGCUCCUUUGAAGUUAGCGGCGGACGGGUGAGUAACACGUGGGUAACCUACCUAUAAGACUGGGAUAACUUCGGGAAACCGGAGCUAAUACCGGAUAACAUUUAGAACCGCAUGGUCCUAAAGUGAAAGAUGGUUUUGCUAUCACUUAUAGAUGGACCCGCGCCGUAUUAGCUAGUUGGUAAGGUAACGGCUUACCAAGGCGACGAUACGUAGCCGACCUGAGAGGGUGAUCGGCCACACUGGAACUGAGCCACGGUCCAGACUCCUACGGGAGGCAGCAGUAGGGAAUCUUCCGCAAUGGGCGAAAGCCUGACGGAGCAACGCCGCGUGAGUGAUGAAGGGUUUCGGCUCGUAAAACUCUGUUAUUAGGGAAGAACAAAUGUGUAAGUAACUGUGCACAUCUUGACGGUACCUAAUCAGAAAGCCACGGCUAACUACGUGCCAGCAGCCGCGGUAAUACGUAGGUGGCAAGCGUUAUCCGGAAUUAUUGGGCGUAAAGCGCGCGUAGGCGGUUUCUUAAGUCUGAUGUGAAAGCCCACGGCUCAACCGUGGAGGGUCAUUGGAAACUGGGAAACUUGAGUGCAGAAGAGGAAAGUGGAAUUCCAUGUGUAGCGGUGAAAUGCGCAGAGAUAUGGAGGAACACCAGUGGCGAAGGCGACUUUCUGGUCUGUAACUGACGCUGAUGUGCGAAAGCGUGGGGAUCAAACAGGAUUAGAUACCCUGGUAGUCCACGCCGUAAACGAUGAGUGCUAAGUGUUAGGGGGUUUCCGCCCCUUAGUGCUGCAGCUAACGCAUUAAGCACUCCGCCUGGGGAGUACGACCGCAAGGUUGAAACUCAAAGGAAUUGACGGGGACCCGCACAAGCGGUGGAGCAUGUGGUUUAAUUCGAAGCAACGCGAAGAACCUUACCAAAUCUUGACAUCCUUUGAAAACUCUAGAGAUAGAGCCUUCCCCUUCGGGGGACAAAGUGACAGGUGGUGCAUGGUUGUCGUCAGCUCGUGUCGUGAGAUGUUGGGUUAAGUCCCGCAACGAGCGCAACCCUUAAGCUUAGUUGCCAUCAUUAAGUUGGGCACUCUAGGUUGACUGCCGGUGACAAACCGGAGGAAGGUGGGGAUGACGUCAAAUCAUCAUGCCCCUUAUGAUUUGGGCUACACACGUGCUACAAUGGACAAUACAAAGGGCAGCUAAACCGCGAGGUCAUGCAAAUCCCAUAAAGUUGUUCUCAGUUCGGAUUGUAGUCUGCAACUCGACUACAUGAAGCUGGAAUCGCUAGUAAUCGUAGAUCAGCAUGCUACGGUGAAUACGUUCCCGGGUCU